UACGAAGGGGGCUAGCGUUGUUCGGAAUUACUGGGCGUAAAGCGCGCGUAGGCGGCUUUGUCAGUCAGGGGUGAAAUCCCGGGGCUUAACCUCGGAACUGCCCUUGAUACUGCAAGGCUUGAGUCUGUGAGAGGAUGGUGGAAUACCCAGUGUAGAGGUGAAAUUCGUAGAUAUUGGGUGGAACACCAGUGGCGAAGGCGGCCAUCUGGCACAGUACUGACGCUGGGGUGCGAAAGCGUGGGGAGCAAACAGG
rnacentral:rRNA from 1 species